rnacentral:rRNA from 1 species
GAUGAACGCUGGCGGCGUGCCUAAUACAUGCAAGUCGAGCGAACGGACGAGAAGCUUGCUUCUCUGAUGUUAGCGGCGGACGGGUGAGUAACACGUGGAUAACCUACCUAUAAGACUGGGAUAACUUCGGGAAACCGGAGCUAAUACCGGAUAAUAUUUUGAACCGCAUGGUUCAAAAGUGAAAGACGGUCUUGCUGUCACUUAUAGAUGGAUCCGCGCUGCAUUAGCUAGUUGGUAAGGUAACGGCUUACCAAGGCAACGAUGCAUAGCCGACCUGAGAGGGUGAUCGGCCACACUGGAACUGAGACACGGUCCAGACUCCUACGGGAGGCAGCAGUAGGGAAUCUUCCGCAAUGGGCGAAAGCCUGACGGAGCAACGCCGCGUGAGUGAUGAAGGUCUUCGGAUCGUAAAACUCUGUUAUUAGGGAAGAACAUAUGUGUAAGUAACUGUGCACAUCUUGACGGUACCUAAUCAGAAAGCCACGGCUAACUACGUGCCAGCAGCCGCGGUAAUACGUAGGUGGCAAGCGUUAUCCGGAAUUAUUGGGCGUAAAGCGCGCGUAGGCGGUUUUUUAAGUCUGAUGUGAAAGCCCACGGCUCAACCGUGGAGGGUCAUUGGAAACUGGAAAACUUGAGUGCAGAAGAGGAAAGUGGAAUUCCAUGUGUAGCGGUGAAAUGCGCAGAGAUAUGGAGGAACACCAGUGGCGAAGGCGACUUUCUGGUCUGUAACUGACGCUGAUGUGCGAAAGCGUGGGGAUCAAACAGGAUUAGAUACCCUGGUAGUCCACGCCAUAAACGAUGAGUGCUAAGUGUUAGGGGGUUUCCGCCCCUUAGUGCUGCAGCUAACGCAUUAAGCACUCCGCCUGGGGAGUACGACCGCAAGGUUGAAACUCAAAGGAAUUGACGGGGACCCGCACAAGCGGUGGAGCAUGUGGUUUAAUUCGAAGCAACGCGAAGAACCUUACCAAAUCUUGACAUCCUUUGACAACUCUAGAGAUAGAGCCUUCCCCUUCGGGGGACAAAGUGACAGGUGGUGCAUGGUUGUCGCCAGCUCGUGUCGUGAGAUGUUGGGUUAAGUCCCGCAACGAGCGCAACCCUUAAGCUUAGUUGCCAUCAUUAAGUUGGGCACUCUAAGUUGACUGCCGGUGACAAACCGGAGGAAGGUGGGGAUGACGUCAAAUCAUCAUGCCCCUUAUGAUCUGGGCUACACACGUGCUACAAUGGACAAUACAAAGGGCAGCGAAACCGCGAGGUCAAGCAAAUCCCAUAAAGUUGUUCUCAGUUCGGAUUGUAGUCUGCAACUCGACUACAUGAAGCUGGAAUCGCUAGUAAUCGUAGAUCAGCAUGCUACGGUGAAUACGUUCCCGGGUCUUGUACACACCGCCCGUCACACCACGAGAGUUUGUAACACCCGAAGCCGGUGGAGUAACCUUUUAGGAGCUAGCCGUCGAAGGUGGGACAAAUGA